rnacentral:snRNA from 1 species
UGUGACUGAAUCUCAAAAUCCGAUAAUAUUGGAACGAUACAGAGAAGAUUAGCAUGGCCCCUACGCAAGGAUGACACGCACAAAUCAUGCCUUCUUGU